AGAAUGCCAAAGAGCAGCAGGAUGGAUCCAGCAUCCUCUCCUGAUAAAAGAGGGCUAGAAGACGGGAGGCUCCGGGAAGUCUACUGGAACGCCAGAAGUGCCAAGCAAUUAACAACCCCAGAAGCAACCCUUAACCAAUGAUUAAAUAAAGUGGAUGAUUACAUACCCAAGCUCCUUCAACUCCCAGGGACAUAAUUCUGAGGGAUGGAAAACAAACUGAAACUGGCUCAAGUGAAUGCUCACUGGAAGGCUUACUGGAAAACUUACUGGAAGGAUGUGAGGACAUGUUCGGGAAUCUAUUUGCAGAAAACAUAUUCAGGUAUACUGGGAGCUCUCCCUCUCUCACAUUGUCUCCCUCACUGAAACCAGGAUUGCUGUCUAUUUCCUUGGGGCUGUUGCUGUCAUGCUGUCUUACUAACUGUAGUGUUGUGUUAGCUACACGACUGCUCAAGUUUAUUUUUUUGAAAAAUUGUGUUCCAUUUAGCCAGGAUGAUGCAAGUUGUUUCAAGAAAGGCUAUAAAAUGCUUGCAAUAAAAGUCAUGUUCAUUCACAU
rnacentral:lncRNA from 1 species